GGGAUUGCCUCAGUAACGGCGAGUGAAGCGGCAACAGCUCAAAUUUUAAAGCUGGCGUCUUUGACGCCCGCGUUGUAAUUUGGAGAGGCAUCUUCGGUUUGGGCGCCAGCCUAUGUUCCUUGGAACAGGACGUCACAGAGGGUGAGAAUCCCGUGCUUGGCUGGCUGUCCCUUUCCAUGUGAAGUGCCUUCGACGAGUCGAGUUGUUUGGGAAUGCAGCUCAAAAUGGGUGGUAAAUUCCAUCUAAAGCUAAAUAUUGGCGGGAGACCGAUAGCGCACAAGUAGAGUGAUCGAAAGAUGAAAAGCACUUUGAAAAUAGAGUUAAAAAGUACGUGAAAUUGUUGAAAGGGAAGCGCUUGAGACCAGACUCGGCCGGAGAUGAUCAGCCGUCCUUCUGGGCGGUGCACUUGUCUCCGGUCGGGCCAGCAUCGGUUGAGACGGCGGGAUAAAGGCCCGGGGAAUGUGGCUCCUUUCGGGGAGUGUUAUAGCCCCGGGCGCAAUGCCGCCAGCCUCGACCGAGGACCGCGCUUUUUGCUAGGAUGCUGGCGUAAUGGUCUUCAGCGACCCGUCUUGAAACACGGACCAAGGAGUCUAACAUCUAUGCGAGUGUUUGGGUGUCAAACCCUUGCGCGUAAUGAAAGUGAACGGAGGUGGGAACCCCUUCGCGGGGCGCACCAUCGACCGGUCCUGAUGUCUUCGGAUGGAUCUGAGUAGGAGCAUAGCUGUUGGGACCCGAAA
rnacentral:rRNA from 1 species